AGUGAACGCUGGCGGUAGGCCUAACACAUGCAAGUCGAACGGCAGCACAGUAAGAGCUUGCUCUGACGGGUGGCGAGUGGCGGACGGGUGAGGAAUACAUCGGAAUCUACUUUUUCGUGGGGGAUAACGUAGGGAAACUUACGCUAAUACCGCAUACGACCUACGGGUGAAAGCAGGGGAUCUUCGGACCUUGCGCGAUUGAAUGAGCCGAUGUCGGAUUAGCUAGUUGGCGGGGUAAAGGCCCACCAAGGCGACGAUCCGUAGCUGGUCUGAGAGGAUGACCAGCCACACUGGAACUGAGACACGGCCCAGACUCCUACGGGAGGCAGCAGUGGGGAAUAUUGGACAAUGGGCGCAAGCCUGAUCCAGCCAUACCGCGUGGGGGAAGAAGGCCUUCGGGUUGUAAAGCCCUUUUGUUGGGAAAGAAAAGCAGCAGGUUAAUACCCCGCUGUUCUGACGGUACCCAAAGAAUAAGCACCGGCUAACUUCGUG
rnacentral:rRNA from 1 species